rnacentral:lncRNA from 1 species
AGCCGCUGCAACAAAAUCAAAACAGCCGAAUACUGCAUACAGUUGGCAGCCAUGUGGGUGGUGGAAUCAGGUCAGGAUUGCAGAAUAGAUCCUAUGGACAGACUGGGUCUCUGAAUGGGGGACUUGGCAUGAUUGGGAACAAUUUGCAAUUGUUGAAUGGUUCAGGAGCCUCUGAGAGCUAUAUACCAGCAACGCUUGGGAUGAUUGGGAACAAUUUGCACUUGUUGAAUGGUUCAGGAGCCUCUGAGAACUAUAUACCAGCAACCACCUAUGGGAACUCUCCUAAGUCAUUACCACAGCAUUUUGAUCAACAGCAUCAGCCAUUAAUGCAAGGUGCCUCCAUUCUCAACAAGUACUGAUAAAAUAACUCCAGCAGUCAGAUU